AUGCAGAACGCCUGGGGAAAUUUUUCAUCCCAUUUCAGCUCUAGAUCAUGUCCCGGCAUCUCGGACGGAGCCAGCGAGUUUACUGCAAAAAUGUUCACGACUGCAACGGGAAAAAAACAAAAAGCGACAGCAUUGGAGCAGGCCAGGGAGGAACGUGUUGGGGUCUUCCUCCUGGAAAUGGAUGCUGUGAGAAACAUUGCAGAGAAGCAGUCAGCCUUCAGAAGACCGGACUUUGCUUUGUUAAUCCUACCGAUGACCGAAAGACGAAGACCGUCAGCUACCCUGGGACACCUGGAGCAGCAAGUCGGGAAGAGCUGAGGACAUAAACCUUUGCAGUAGAUCACAUUCUUCCCGUUUUUUCACGAUUUAUUGGAGUAAAGGGGAUUGGAAGUUAUUGAGGGCAUACUGGGGAGCUCGAUACUCCCACGUGUGCUUCUCCAGCAACCAGCUGAAUGCAAAGCCUUGAAUAAACGCGUAUUUUAACACCUACCCA
rnacentral:lncRNA from 1 species